AUUACUCUUUAAGAAAAAGUUUGUUGAUCUCUGAGCUGUUCUAUCCUUACUGUCAUAGAACCUGAGGUCUUUGAUAAGUGCCCUUAUAUGGCAACUUUCUGUUUUCUACACAGACAAGAGAUGUUCACAGUAGCCAGCCUCCAAGGUGGCCCCAACGAUCCCCACCUCUUGGCAUUCACACCCUUGUGCAGUUCCUUCCCACGCUGACUUGUACAACCAAUGCAGAAGUGAUGGAGUGUGACUUCCAAGCCUAGGUCAUAAAAGAUACUGUGGCUUCCAUCUCCCUCUCUCUGAGAUCACUCACUCUGGGGGAAGCCAGCUCCCACGUUCUGGGAACACUCAAGAAGCCCCAUGUAGAAGCCCACGUGGUGAUAAAUCGAGGUCUCUUACCACCAGUUACCCCUUCCAAGUUGCGGAGAAAAUUGAGCUAGAAGUGUUUUCUUCCUCUAAGGCACCUUGCUCCUGUUUCGUGGCUCAUCUCACUAAGACCCGACACAAACCCACAGCACAACGUUAUAGGAGUUGUUCAGCUUGUGAUCAGGUGUCUCCAAUUCUGUUUCAUACGCGCUGAAACCGAAAACUUCAUUUUUCACCUCAACAUGUGUUCCAU
rnacentral:lncRNA from 1 species